GACGAACGCUGGCGGCGUGCUUAACACAUGCAAGUCGAGCGGUAAGGCCUCUUCGGGGGUACACGAGCGGCGAACGGGUGAGUAACACGUGGGUGACCUGCCCUCAGCUCUGGGAUAAGCCUGGGAAACUGGGUCUAAUACCGGAUAUGACCUCUCAUCGCAUGGUGGGUGGUGGAAAGUUUUUCGGCUGGGGAUGGGCCCGCGGCCUAUCAGCUUGUUGGUGGGGUGAUGGCCUACCAAGGCGACGACGGGUAGCCGGCCUGAGAGGGCGACCGGCCACACUGGGACUGAGAUACGGCCCAGACUCCUACGGGAGGCAGCAGUGGGGAAUAUUGCGCAAUGGGCGAAAGCCUGACGCAGCGACGCCGCGUGGGGGAUGACGGCCUUCGGGUUGUAAACCUCUUUCGACCGGGACGAAGGGUGACUGACGGUACCGGUAGAAGAAGCACCGGCCAACUACGUGCCAGCAGCCGCGGUAAUACGUAGGGUGCGAGCGUUGUCCGGAAUUAUUGGGCGUAAAGAGCUCGUAGGCGGUGUGUCACGUCGGUCGUGAAAACUUGGGGCUCAACCCUGAGCGUGCGGUCGAUACGGGCAUCACUUGAGUUCGGCAGGGGAGACUGGAAUUCCUGGUGUAGCGGUGAAAUGCGCAGAUAUCAGGAGGAACACCGGUGGCGAAGGCGGGUCUCUGGGCCGAUACUGACGCUGAGGAGCGAAAGCGUGGGGAGCGAACAGGAUUAGAUACCCUGGUAGUCCACGCCGUAAACGGUGGGCACUAGGUGUGGGGGCCAUUCCACGGUCUCUGUGCCGCAGCUAACGCAUUAAGUGCCCCGCCUGGGGAGUACGGCCGCAAGGCUAAAACUCAAAGGAAUUGACGGGGGCCCGCACAAGCGGCGGAGCAUGUGGAUUAAUUCGAUGCAACGCGAAGAAUCUUACCUGGGUUUGACAUGCACUAGACGCGUCUAGAGAAUAGCGUCCUUGUGCUGAUGUGCAGUGAUGCAUUGUCUGUCGUCAGCUCGUGUCAUGAGAUGUUGGUAGUCACUGCACGAGCGCCCAACCCUUCGAGUUCCAUGUUUGCAACG
rnacentral:rRNA from 1 species